rnacentral:misc_RNA from 1 species
GAAAAAAAAAAAGAUAAAUGCUGUUUUUUCGAUGCUUUGCUUUUAUUGUUUCUGAUUCUUUUCACAAAAGAGAUAAGAAAGAAUCAGAUCUUUUGCUUGUAGGUACUUUUUUGGUUAGUAUAAAUGAACUUUCAUUUAUGGAGUUUUCUAUGUUGUCUGUAUUUAAGAUGAAAUUGGAGCUUAGUGUAUGUUGUUUACUCCCAUAUUGAGCCUUUGACUAGAUUCUCAGUUUCGUGUUAACAGGACAAUUUCAUCAAUAGAUAGUAAAUGAUGAUGAAAUCCACUUGAAAUGGUUAUACAUAUUGAAAUCGAGAACUAGCUGAGUAAUAAUCGCCAUUAGCGUACGUUGUCUACUUAAGAAAUUUUGACAUUGAACUAUUAUGAUUGAAUCUGUUUGAAAACUAGCCAGCAUAACUUCUGUUGACACUUAAUAUACCUAUUACUUGUUGGUGUUUGUUUUUU